AUGGACUUCUCCCUGGGGAGUGCAGGAACGGCGACACAGUAUUCGACGCGUUCAGCGGCAAGCAUGAGCCCGCAAGAACAGCAAGGGAUCCCUAACAGGGUAGAUGCGCAUGAUGGUUUUGAGGACAAUGAGGGUGUGGGUGCUGAGGAGGCGGAUAAACAGGUUGCAAAACAUGUCAAAGGGCUCAGGUUGAGGCUUGAAAAAGAGAAGCCGGAGUGUAGCAAGGUUCAACAAAUGCUAAGAGGUACGGCAGACAUUCCGUGGCUGGUGGCAGGGGAUUUCAACGAGGCUAUGUGGGAUUUUGAGCACUUGUCUUAUACUCCUCGGCCCCGGAACCAGAUGGUCGCCUUUAGGGAAUGCCUAGAGGACUGCCAGCUUGUGAACUUGGGAUUCUCGGGGCACCCAUUCACAUAUGAUAACAAGCGCAGUGGGCGUGCCAAUGUUCAGGUGCGCCUGGACCGGGUUGUGGCAGACAGCCUUUGGCGUGACCUGUUCCCGGAGUGUGAAGUGGCACACCUCACGUCUCCCAGCUUCGAUCAUUUCCCUAUUAUCCUCCAGUGUGUAGGGAGACCCGGGUGUGCACCAGAAAAACACGAAGGUAUGAAGUCAUGUGGGAAGGGAACCGGCGCUGGCGGAGAUUGUGGCGGAGGCAUGGGGGGUAGCCGGUGCAAAAGGUGCCCUGCUCCUCCUAAGGUGCGCACCUUUGUUUGGAUACUCGUCACUGAUUGUCUACCCACCUGGGUGAACAAGAAACGCCGGGGUCUUGAGGUUUCUGACUUAUGCCCUCUCUGCGCUACCGAGCCAGAGGACACGUUCCACACGUUUUGCAGGUGUCCACGGGCAGUCGGACUAUGGCAGGCCAAGGAAGAACACUGGCGCAUCCCCGAGCUCACGCACGACAAGCAACCUCCUCCUGUCGAAGCGUCCUGCCGUUUCCUGCUGAGUUACGUGGAAUCCAUUAUCGGCGUGCAGAACCAGCCGGAGGCUGAUCCGGUGAAGGGCAAGCAGGUGAUGGAAGCGCUGCACACCGGUGCGGCGCCAAUACAAGCCCCGACGAGCGCGUGGGCUCCCGCCAGAUGGCUUCCCCCUCCUGCAGGUUGGGCCAAGCUGAACGUCUACGGCUCCUUCUGCCCCACGACAGGCACGGCCGGGGCGGGCAUGGUGCUCCGAGACAGCUCGGGCACAAUCAUCUUCUCGUCAUGUCGUCAACUACGGAGAUGCGUGGAUGCACUUGAAGCUGAGCUGGUUGCGUGCAUGGAGGGCCUAAACCUAGCGCUCCCAUGGACGCCUCUGCCGGUGGAGAUUGAGACCGACUGUCUUGUCGGAAUCAAUAUGUUGAGGGGCGACACUGUGGAUCAAUCUCGCUUUGCUAUGCUGAUAGACCAGACCAGACGUCUCAUGAGGGGAGGAAGAGAUACGAGACUAACUCACAUCUCGCGCGAUCAAAAUAAAGUUAGCCAUUUCCUUGCAAACUUUGGUAGAGUAGAAGAGCGCACUGUUGUGUGGCUCGGUUCCGGUCCAGGCGAUUUUCCAUAUCUUUCACGAAUCUCGUUACUCCAUCCCGCGGCAGCAACAUACCCGGUGAAAACCGGUUCAGCUAGAAUUUCAUUUCUCCACGGGAGCGGCAGCGCGGCACACCGUUGCCGGCAAACCAGAUCCACCCUCGCGCUCGCUCCCCUCCAACCAUCCACCAACCUCCUCCCCCCAAUCAUGCUCACAUCAGGACGCACCUUCGUACAUCGCUCCACACUAGCCACCAGCAGCCAGCAGCCAGCCAUUUCCCCUGCUACUGUGCUAGCAUAG
rnacentral:rRNA from 1 species